rnacentral:rRNA from 1 species
UACGUAGGGGGCGAGCGUUAUCCGGAUUCACUGGGUGUAAAGGGAGCGCAGACGGCCAAGCAAGCCAGGGGUGAAAGCCCGGGGCCCAACCCCGGGACUGCCCUUGGAACUGCAUGGCUGGAGUGCGGGAGGGGCAGGCGGAAUUCCUGGUGUAGCGGUGAAAUGCGUAGAUAUCAGGAGGAACACCGGCGGCGAAGGCGGCCUGCUGGAUCGCGACUGACGUUGAGGCUCGAAAGCGUGGGGAGCGAACAGG